UGGCUCUGGCAUCGAUGAAGAACGCAGCGAAAUGCGAUAAGUAAUGUGAAUUGCAGAAUUCAGUGAAUCAUCGAAUCUUUGAACGCACAUUGCGCCCGUCAGUAUUCUGACGGGCAUGCCUGUUCGAGCGUCAUCUCAACCCUCAAGCCCGGCUUGGUGUUGGGGAUCGGCCCCCCCGCCGUCCCCCAAAUCUAGUGGCGGCCACGCCGUAGCUCCCUCUGCGUAGUAGCACACCUCGCACCGGGACGCGGCGCGGCCACGCCGUUAAACCCCCCCCUUCUGAAGGUUGACCUCGGAUCAGGUAGGAAUACCCGCUGA
rnacentral:misc_RNA from 1 species